GGGGAGUGCGGUCGCAAGAUUAAAACUCAAAGGAAUUGACGGGGACCCGCACAAGCGGUGGAUGAUGUGGAUUAAUUCGAUGCAACGCGAAAAACCUUACCUACCCUUGACAUGGUCGGAAUCCUGCUGAGAGGUGGGAGUGCUCGAAAGAGAACCGGCGCACAGGUGCUGCAUGGCUGUCGUCAGCUUGUGUCGUGAGAUGUUGGGUUAAGUCCCGCAACGAGCGCAACCCUUGUCCUUAGUUGCUACGCAAGAGCACUCUAAGGAGACUGCCGGUGACAAACCGGAGGAAGGUGGGGAUGACGUCAAGUCCUCAUGGCCCUUAUGGGUAGGGCUUCACACGUCAUACAAUGGUCGGAACAGAGGGUUGCCAACCCGCGAGGGGGAGCUAAUCCCAGAAAACCGAUCGUAGUCCGGAUUGCACUCUGCAACUCGAGUGCAUGAAGCUGGAAUCGCUAGUAAUCGCGGAUCAGCAUGUCGCGGUGAAUACGUUCCCGGGCCUUGUACACUCUGCCCGU
rnacentral:rRNA from 1 species